rnacentral:ncRNA from 1 species
CAAAGGCUUGGUCCCGGCUUUUCUGUCAGCUCUAACUAAAUUUAUACAUGCAAGUUUCCGCACCCCUGUGAGAAUGCCCUAGAUAACCUGCCCGGAAUUUAGGAGCUGGUAUCAGGCACCCUAUCUUUAGCCCAAGACGCCUUGCUUAGCCACACCCCUAAGGGAGUUCAGCAGUAAUAAAUAUUAAGCCAUAAGUGAAAGCUUGACUUAGUUAAGGUUUAAAGGGCCGGUAAAACUCGUGCCAGCCACCGCGGUUAUACGAGAGGCCCAAGUUGACAACUCAACGGCGUAAAGCGUGGUUAAGUACCCCCCCCCCCCACUAGGGCCAAACACCCACAAAGCUGUUAUACGCAUGUUGAGGAUUUGAAGCACCCCCACAAAAGUGGCCCUAAACCCCCACUGACCCCACGAAAGCUACAAAACAAACUGGGAUUAGAUACCCCACUAUGUGUAGCCGUAAACCUUGAUGGUAACCCUUACCCCCCCCCAUCCGCCUGGGAACUACGAGCACCAGCUUAAAACCCAAAGGACUUGGCGGUGCUUUAGACCCCCCUAGAGGAGCCUGUUCUAGAACUGAUAACCCCCGUUAAACCUCACCAGCCCUUGUUAAUACCGCCUAUAUACCGCCGUCGUCAGCUUACCCUGUGAAGGCACAAUAGUAAGCAAAGUUAGUAAAACUCAAAACGUCAGGUCGAGGUGUAGCGAAUGAGCUGGGAAGAAAUGGGCUACAUUUUCUCUUGAGAAAAAACGAAUGGUGUGUUGAAACACCCACCUAAAGGAGGAUUUAGCAGUAAGUGGUAAAUAGAGUGUCCCACUGAAACUGGCCCUGAAGCGCGCACACACCGCCCGUCACUCUCCCCUGUUGGCCCCCAACCUUUCAUAAAACCUUUAUUAAACAAAGGGGAGGCAAGUCGUAACAUGGUAAGCGUACCGGAAGGUGCGCUUGGAUAAAU